GUGCCUGUAGCUCAGCUGGAUAGCGCAACGGCCUUCUAAGCCGUGGGUCCGGGGUUCGAAUCCCUGCAGGCACGCCA
rnacentral:tRNA from 1 species